CUCUCUCUCUCUCUAACUCAUAUGGUCUGAUGAAAGUAACUAUGAGGUAACACAGUACAUGUAUUCAAUCAACAUAUAAACUUAAUGUAACUGGUUUCUU